GGCUAGAUUCAAGCAUCGAAAUUCCUACCGUCCGGUGGAAUUCGAGGAUGUCGGAGGUUUCUAGAAGGGUAAGAGAAAGGUUUUCUCAAAUGUUUUUAAGUGUUUUAUGGUUUUAAGUAGAAAGGAGUUGAGUUUUGAAGAGAAAAGACCAAGGAGGCUUUGGCCAGGUUCGGCCGCUGAAAGUGAUGUUCGACCGCCGAAAGUGCCUUAGGUUUUGCCCCCGAA
rnacentral:lncRNA from 1 species